rnacentral:rRNA from 1 species
CCUACGGGGGGCUGCAGUGAGGAAUAUUGGUCAAUGGACGAGAGUCUGACCCAGCCAAGUAGCGUGAAUGAUGACUGCCCUAUGGGUUGUAAGCUUCUUUUAUAUGGGAGUAAAACAGGGUAUGCAUACACUCUUGUGUGUACCAUAUGAAUGAGGAUCGGCUAACUCCGUGCCAGCAGCGGCGGUAAUACGGAGGAUCUGAGCGUUAUCCGGAUUUAUUGGGUUUAAAGGGAGCGUAGGUGGAUUGUUAAGUCAGUUGUGAAAGUUUGCGGCUCAACCGUAAAAUUGCAGUUGAAACUGGCAGUCUUGAGUACAGUAGAGGUGGGCGGAAUUCGUGGUGUAGCGGUGAAAUGCUUAGAUAUCACGAAGAACUCCGAUUGCGAAGGCAGCUCACUGGACUGCAACUGACACUGAUGCUCGAAAGUGUGGGUAUCAAACAGGAUUAGAUACCCUUGUAGUC